rnacentral:lncRNA from 1 species
UGAACUUGCUUAUUAAUGAAGAAAACCAACAGCUCGUCACCGGCAGUGCUGAUGGUCAGCUGUGGAUCUUUAGCUUGAUGGAGGGACAUCACUACCACUGUGUGGCACAUGUGGACCUAAGGAAGAAAAAGGAGACUUUCACCACCCGAAGAAUGAUGACUGAGCAGUACGGCCUGCCAGAAGGCCAUCAGUACCACUGCAGAUACGAGGUGGAUAAAAGGGGAGAGGCUGAAGCAACGUUCCCUGUCCUGAACCUGGCGCACUGUGACCUCUGCCUGCCGGAUUCCCAGGGUGGAGGUCUUGCUCCUGAGUGCACCACAUGCAUAUGGAUUGGAAGCUCAACAGCUCUAUUCAUAUUGAACCUGGCAAGCUUUGAGUUGGAAGCUGCUUUACAUCUCAAGGAAUUUCAGAGCCUGAGUGUCCAAGUUGCUGGGUCGUGUGCAGUGAUGAACGAGCCCAUCAGUGCCAAGGCAGUUUGCAUACUUUCAUCUAUGUUUGGGAGUAAGAUUGCUGUAUUGGAAAUCAGCCUGUCUGCUCUGCUGAGCGCUCAGCAGUGCCCUCGUGCAGGAAGGAUGCUCUCCGUGCUGGCAAGCUCCUGUGUCCUGCCAACUUCUCCACUGUAUUUUGGAAUUAUUAAGGAAAAAUUUCCUAAGCUUGCCAAUACCAAACGACAUGCUGUGAAGAGCGCUGUGGAGCACAGGCCCCUGGUUUUCCACACUAAAGUUAAGUCGUCUGGCUACACAUCGGCACCACACAUGGCUAUGUUUUCUCCAAAGACUAACAUCAAGCAUAAUAACAGAAGAUCUUCAAAAUACAAGAACAAUUACAAAUGUAAAGAGUACUCGGAGAGUUUCCUACCCAGAAAUCUGAUCAGACAGGUGGCUGUAGCCCAGGCGCCUGUUGCUGUGACCUGUCUGCAGUUCUCAGG